rnacentral:rRNA from 1 species
CAUAGUUCGCUUUGGAAACUNUCAAACUUGAGCGCAGAAGGGGAGAGUGGAAUUCCAUGUGCAGCGGUGAAAUGNGUAGAUAUAUGGAGGAACACCGGCGGCGAAAGCGGCUCUCUGGUCUGUAACUGACGCUGAGGCUCGAAAGCGUGGGGAGCGAACAGGAUUAGAUACCCUGGUAGUCCACGCCGUAAACGAUGAGUGCUAGGUGUUGGGUCCUNUCCGGGAUUCAGUGCCGCAGCUAACGCAUUAAGCACUCCGCCUGGGGAGUACGACCGCAAGGUUGAAACUCAAAGGAAUUGACGGGGGCCCGCACAGGCGGUGGAGCAUGUGGUUUAAUUCGAAGCAACGCGAAGAACCUUACCAGGUCUUGACAUCCCGAUGCUAUUUCUAGAGAUAGGAAGUUACUUCGGUACAUCGGUGACAGGUGGUGCAUGGUUGUCGUCAGCUCGUGUCGUGAGAUGUUNNNNNNNNNNNNNGCNACGAGCGCAACCCCUAUUGUUAGUUGCCAUCAUUCAGUUGGGCACUCUAGCGAGACUGCCGGUAAUAAACCGGAGGAAGGUGGGGAUGACGUCAAAUCAUCAUGCCCCUUAUGACCUGGGCUACACACGUGCUACAAUGGUUGGUACAACGAGUUGCGAGUCGGUGACGGCGAGCUAAUCUCUUAAAGCCAAUCUCAGUUCGGAUUGUAGGCUGCAACUCGCCUACAUGAAGUCGGAAUCGCUAGUAAUCGCGGAUCAGCACGCCGCGGUGAAUACGUUCCCGGGC